AAACUUUUUAAGUUCUUUGAUCAUUCUUUCAAUGUUUGCCAAUGAAGAACUUCUCAUAAAAACCUGAAAAUUGUCCAAAUGAGCUUGAGAAAGUUUUUUCAAUGUUAUGAAACUACCAAAAUAUAGUAUCUCAACCUUUGUGGAACAAGUGCUAACAAUGAUUAUAACUUUGGAGGAGAUUAAGCUAAGGUGUUGUUCAAGGGCUUUUGGAUCUUUUGAUGAGUGUGUCAUGUAUCAUAAGUGCAUUGAGUAUCUUUUCA
rnacentral:misc_RNA from 1 species